AUGUAAGUUUUUGCAUGAAAUUUUGUUUAUUUAAAAAAUAAAUAACAUUAUAAUUUAAUCUCAGUAAUUAAUUUUAUAAAUCAAAGAAAUUUGGAAUUAGUAAUUUUUUUUAGUAUUGGUUAAAUUUGUGCCAGCAGCCGCGGUUAUACAAAUUAUACAAGUAAAAAUUUUUCGGUGAGAGUAAUUAAAAAAAUAAAUAUAAAUUUAUUAGGUGAAAUUUUAAAUUUAUUAAUUUUUAAAUUUAUAAAUUUAAAAUCUUUUAAAUUUUUAUAAUAAACUAGGAUUAGAUACCCUAUUAUUAAAAAUGUAAUUUUCAACACUUAAGUAGUAAUAGUUAUGUUCUUGAAACUUAAAAAAUUUGGCGGUAUUUUAGUCUAUUCAGAGGAACCUGUUCUGUAAUUGAUAAUCCACGAUGUACCUUACUUAAAUUUGUAUUUCAGUUUAUAUACCGUCGUUAUUAGAAUAUUUUAUUAGAAUAAUAAUUUUCAGAAAUUUAAAAUUGAAUUUAUAUCAGAUCAAGGUGUAGCUAAUGUUUAAGUAGAAAUGGGUUACAAUAAAUUUAUUUAAAUGAAUUUAAUUUUGAAAUUAUUAAUGAAAGUGGAUUUGGAAGUAAAAGUUUAUAGAUAAAAAUUUUGACUAUAGCUCUAAAAUAUGUACACAUCGCCCGUCGCUCUUAUUAUUAAAGUAAGAUAAGUCGUAACAUAGUAGAUGUA
rnacentral:rRNA from 1 species